CAGAUAAGAACUGCCCUCUCGUUUUGUCCACCAGAAGCCUGUGAAGCUUCACUCACUUCAAUCUUUGGAGACUUAAAGUGCUCACUCAAAUGCACUGAACAAGAGGAAUGCUUCAGCUCCAAUCAGCUCCUGUCUUCUUUGGAAAUGCUGGCCCUGAGGCUCUACGUAAUAACCUGUGAUCAGGAUCCUAGUUAUGUGCUGGAUAGGCAACUGAAGAAGCCUGUCUUUCCACAAUUCAGACAGAGCAUAUAAAUAAGUUUGGUGUUCACACUCUCCUGAGUCAAAGCUCUGAGUGAGACUUGAAGGGAUGAGAACCAUUCUUAAAUAGUUUGAAGAACUGUCCUGAAGAAAUUGAGUUAGAUCUUUAAGACUUUAGCAAUGCUAAUUCUAAUACAAAUAUCAACUACCAGUGGUUUUAUUUGCUUGGCAACUGGAAGGAGAGGGAGAUAGCAAACCAGAAAUUGCUUGUACUUAAAGUCAUUGAAAGGCUGUAAUUCACAUAUGGAUGAAAUUUGGCUCUGGAAUAACAUAAUGUAGUUGUAAGUGGAAUAAAUCUGGUCUACUAAUUCUUUUUCUGCCUGUU
rnacentral:lncRNA from 1 species